rnacentral:rRNA from 1 species
UACGUAGGGGGCAAGCGUUGUCCGGAAUCAUUGGGCGUAAAGCGCGUGUAGGCGGCCCGGUAAGUCCGCUGUGAAAGUCGGGGGCUCAACCCUCGAAUGCCGGUGGAUACUGUCGGGCUAGAGUGCGGGAGAGGCGAGUGGAAUUCCUGGUGUAGCGGUGAAAUGCGCAGAUAUCAGGAGGAACACCAAUUGCGAAGGCAGCUCGCUGGAACGUAACUGACGCUGAGACGCGAAAGCGUGGGGAG